rfam:Bacillus phage Mater, complete genome.
AGCGCUGUGGUGAAGCGGCAUUAACACACUCGACUUUCUAUCGAGCAUUCGCGGGUUCGAGUCCCGUCAGCGCUA